CCCUUCAGAGGGGGACAACAGUUGGAAACGACUGCUAAUACCGCAUACGAUCUAACCUCGGCAUCGAGGAUGGAUGAAAGGUGGCCUCUAUUUAUAAGCUAUCACUGAAGGAGGGGAUUGCGUCUGAUUAGCUAGUUGGAGGGGUAACGGCCCACCAAGGCGAUGAUCAGUAGCCGGUCUGAGAGGAUGAACGGCCACAUUGGGACUGAGACACGGCCCAG
rnacentral:rRNA from 1 species